rnacentral:rRNA from 1 species
ACGAACGCUGGCGGCGUGCCUCAUACAUGCAAGUUGAGCGCUGAAGGUUGGUACUUGUACCCACUGGAUGGGCAGCGAACGGGUGAGUAACGCGUGGGGAAUCUGCCUUUGAGCGGGGGACAACAUUUGGAAACGAAUGCUAAUCCCGCAUAAAAACUUUAAACACAAGUUUUAAGUUUGAAAGAUGCAAUUGCAUCACUCAAAGAUGAUCCCGCGUUGUAUUAGCUAGUUGGUGAGGUAAAGGCUCACCAAGGCGAUGAUACAUAGCCGACCUGAGAGGGUGAUCGGCCACAUUGGGACGGAGACACGGCCCAAACUCCUACGGGAGGCAGCAGUAGGGAAUCUUCGGCAAUGGACGAAAGUCUGACCGAGCAACGCCGCGUGAGUGAAGAAGGUUUUCGGAUCGUAAAACUCGGUUGGUAGAGAAGAACGUUGGUGAGAGUGGAAAGCUCAUCAAGUGACGGUAACUACCCAGAAAGGGACGGCUAACUACGUG